GUUAAUGUAGCUUAACAAUAAAGCAAACCACUGAAAAUGCUUAGAUGCGCUUUUAGCUCCAUAAACA
rnacentral:tRNA from 1 species